ncrna:Hippoglossus hippoglossus (Atlantic halibut) microRNA hhi-mir-430a precursor (hhi-mir-430a-1)
AAUAUUACCCUUGCACAAGCACCAACUUGAGUUUAGAAAACAGUAAGUGCUAUUUGUUGGGGUAGUAUU